rnacentral:rRNA from 1 species
CGGUGUUUAACUGGCGUGAUGUGGGACGUCCUACCGGUGGGCUUAGCCUCGCGAGGGGCGGCCCAACUAAUAUCCCGUCGCGGUGCUCUUUACUGAGUGUCGAGUCGGGCCGGUACGUUUACUUUGAACAAAUUAGAGUGCUUAAAGCAGGCUAUCCUCGCCUGAAUACUGCGUGCAUGGAAUAAUGGAAUAGGACCUCGGUUCUAUUUUGUUGGUUUUCGGAACCCCGAGGUAAUGAUUAAUAGGGACAGAUGGGGGCAUUCGUAUUGCGACGUUAGAGGUGAAAUUCUUGGAUCGUCGCAAGACGGACAGAAGCGAAAGCAUUUGCCAAAAAUGUUUUCAUUAAUCAAGAACGAAAGUUAGAGGUUCGAAGGCGAUCAGAUACCGCCCUAGUUCUAACCAUAAACGAUGCCAGCUAGCGAUCCGCCGAAGUUCCUCCGAUGACUCGGCGGGCAGCUUCCGGGAAACCAAAGCUUUUGGGUUCCGGGGGAAGUAUGGUUGCAAAGCUGAAACUUAAAGGAAUUGACGGAAGGGCACCACCAGGAGUGGAGCCUGUGGCUUAAUUUGACUCAACACGGGAAACCUCACCAGGCCCAGACACCGGAAGGAUUGACAGAUUGAUAGCUCUUUCUUGAUUCGGUGGGUGGUGGUGCAUGGCCGUUCUUAGUUGGUGGAGCGAUUUGUCUGGUUAAUUCCGAUAACGAACGAGACUCUAGCCUGCUAAAUAGGCGUACCUUAUGGUAUCGCGAAGGCCCCCGGCUUCGGCCGGUGGGUUUUUACUACCAACGUACAAACAAAUCUUCUUAGAGGGACAGGCGG